rnacentral:lncRNA from 1 species
UGGUGUAUUGCUGCAGGGUUGCCUCAAGUACCAUUUAGCCUUAGAAAGAAUCCUGAAAUGGGUUUCAUCAGCAUGUUAUAUAUUAGAUAUGCAUGAACAGUGUCAAUGCACUAAUUGGUUCGAGUGCUAACCUGAAAGGAAGAUAAUGUUGGUUCUCAAAUAGUUGAUCUAUAGAUGCAUUGAUAUAUAGUCAUAUCUGCGGCUAUAUCUGUACAAUGGUUUCAUGUGCUGAACUAUUAGGGAAAAGAUUCUCCAAGUGUUGCAAAAAGAUGAGAUGUCUCAAUUUAUUUAUAACUCAAUUACGUUACUUAAAUCUUGAUGUAUGGACCAAACAGCAUCUUGAUAAAAUUUUUAGUUGUCAUGAUUCAUGGUCUAGUGCUAAAUAUGCCAAAAAAAAUAAAAAGGGAAAAUAAACCUCAUGAUUCAUGUUUAGCAGAUGCUCACACUCAGAUUAACGUGCAGUGGGAGUUGUGAUCUCAUAUUCAAAAUCUCUCAACUCUCUGAAGUUUCUCUACCCCAAAUUUGUUGAUGUAUCUUUUCUUUGUGUUUUGGCAAGUUGUGUAUUUUUUGCAUAUAUAUUUGUGCUUAUGAGUUAACUGAAUGGAUAAAGUGUAAAAUUCAUUAAUAGAAUUGGGUUUGCAAUCGAUCAAUACUAAAAUAAUUAGAAAUAACUAUUAAAUUAGUUAAAUCUUAAUGUUUAUAAUUGUUUUAACAUGUUUAGUCUCUUACAGUGUUAUAGUUUUAUUCUAUGGAUCCUUUUCGGGUUUAAGCUCUCUGGAAUUAUAGUGCAUAUCCUUUGGUGGUUGCCGUUCGUUAGUCUCGGUCUGUUCCGAUGUUGUCUGGCACUUUCACUAGCUACGGCUUAAUGGGGCAUUAUCUGUGGACCUGUUGGAGGCGAACCGCGGAAGUUGCAUAAAAGGCAGAGAAUGAGGUGAUGGAUCUUGAAACAUAUUUGCUAUAUAAAUAUUGCAUCCUGUGACGGGGAUUUGCAAGCUCACCAACGAGAAAUCUUUCCAUCAAUCGAGCUCCAAGAAGGAAAUUUAUGAAGAAAGGGUACUUGUUAGUGACUCUGUCAGUACAAUCUCCUUUCUACAGGUCUAGAUUUUUUCCCCUCACCAAAUGAGCAGCAGCGGUGGCGGUUUCUUUUCAUGUGUAAGCCAAUGGAUCGUUUUUUUAUGGGGCUACAAGCUUGCUUCGAUGCAGGAAUUUUACACACCCAUUUAC